UAAUGAUGAUGAUGAUGAUGAUGAUGAUGAUGAUGAUGACGAUGAUGAUGAUGAUUAUUAUCAUCAUCAUCAUCAUCUUACAUA
rnacentral:pre_miRNA from 1 species